rnacentral:rRNA from 1 species
ACUCGCUGUGAAGAUGCAGUGUACCCGCGGCAAGACGGAAAGACCCCGUGAACCUUUACUAUAGCUUGACACUGAACAUUGAGCCUUGAUGUGUAGGAUAGGUGGGAGGCUUUGAAGCGUGGACGCCAGUCUGCGUGGAGCCGACCUUGAAAUACCACCCUUUAAUGUUUGAUGUUCUAACGUUGGCCCCUUACCGGGGUUGCGGACAGUGUCUGGUGGGUAGUUUGACUGGGGCGGUCUCCUCCCAAAGCGUAACGGAGGAGCACGAAGGUUAGCUAAUCCUGGUCGGACAUCAGGAGGUUAGUGCAAUGGCAUAAGCUAGCUUGACU